GGUUAAGUGACUAAGCGUACAUGGUGGAUGCCUUGGCAGUCAGAGGCGAUGAAGGACGUACUAACCUGCGAUAAGCUGUGAGAAGUCGGUAAGAGACGCUAUUACUCACAGAUUUCCGAAUGGGGAAACCCACCCGAGAUAACUCGGGUAUCUGUUACUGAAUACAUAGGUAACAGAGGCGAACCGGGAGAACUGAAACAUCUAAGUACCCCGAGGAAAAGAAAUCAACCGAGAUUCCCUCAGUAGCGGCGAGCGAACGGGGAUUAGCCCUUAAGCAUCUUGGAAGUUAGUGGAACGGUCCUGGAAAGGCCGGCGAUACAGGGUGAUAGCCCCGUACACGAAAACAACCUUGAUGUGAAAUCGAGUAGGGCGGGACACGUGACAUCCUGUCUGAAUAUGGGGGGACCAUCCUCCAAGGCUAAAUACUCCUGACUGACCGAUAGUGAACCAGUACCGUGAGGGAAAGGCGAAAAGAACCCCUGUGAGGGGAGUGAAAUAGAACCUGAAACCGUGUACGUACAAGCAGUGGGAGCCCUUCGGGGUGACUGCGUACCUUUUGUAUAAUGGGUCAGCGACUUACAUUUUGUAGCGAGGUUAACCGUAUAGGGGAGCCGUAGGGAAACCGAGUCUUAACUGGGCGUCUAGUUGCAAGGUGUAGACCCGAAACCGGGUGAUCUAGCCAUGGGCAGGUUGAAGGUUGAGUAACAUCAACUGGAGGACCGAACCCACUAACGUUGCAAAGUUAGGGGAUGACCUGUGGCUGGGGGUGAAAGGCCAAUCAAACUCGGAGAUAGCUGGUUCUCCCCGAAAGCUAUUUAGGUAGCGCCUCGGACGAAUACUACUGGGGGUAGAGCACUGUUUGGGCUAGGGGGUCAUCCCGACUUACCAACCCCAUGCAAACUCCGAAUACCAGUAAGUACUAUCCGGGAGACACACGGCGGGUGCUAACGUCCGUCGUGAAGAGGGAAACAACCCAGACCGCCGGCUAAGGUCCCAAAGUUCUGGUUAAGUGGGAAACGAUGUGGGAAGGCUCAGACAGCUAGGAUGUUGGCUUAGAAGCAGCCAUCAUUUAAAGAAAGCGUAAUAGCUCACUAGUCGAGUCGGCCUGCGCGGAAGAUGUAACGGGGCUCAAACCAGGCACCGAAGCCGCGGAUUCACACUUAUGUGUGAGUGGUAGGGGAGCGUUCUGUAAGUCUGCGAAGGUGUAUCGAGAGGUAUGCUGGAGAUAUCAGAAGUGCGAAUGCUGACGUAAGUAACGAUAAAGGGGGUGAAAAGCCUCCUCGCCGGAAGACCAAGGGUUCCUGUCCAACGUUAAUCGGGGCAGGGUGAGUCGACCCCUAAGGCGAGGCCGAAAGGCGUAGUCGAUGGGAAGCAGGUUAAUAUUCCUGCACGACUUGUAAUUGCGAUGGGGGGACGGAGAAGGCUAGGUGGGCCAGGCGACGGUUGUCCUGGUGAAAGUGCGUAGGUGGUGUUUCUAGGCAAAUCCGGAGACACAACACUGAGACACGAGACGAACACACUACGGUGUGGAAGCCAUUGAUGCCCUGCUUCCAGGAAAAGCCUCUAAGCUUCAGAUUACAAGUCAUCGUACCCCAAACCGACACAGGUGGUCGGGUAGAGAAUACCAAGGCGCUUGAGAGAACUCGGGUGAAGGAACUAGGCAAAAUAGAACCGUAACUUCGGGAGAAGGUUCGCUCUUGACAGUGAAGUCCCUUGCGGAUGGAGCAGUUGGGAGUCGCAGUGACCAGAUGGCUGGGACUGUUUAUCAAAAACACAGCACUCUGCAAACACGAAAGUGGACGUAUAGGGUGUGACACCUGCCCGGUGCCGGAAGGUUAAUUGAUGGGGUUAGCGCAAGCGAAGCUCUUGAUCGAAGCCCCGGUAAACGGCGGCCGUAACUAUAACGGUCCUAAGGUAGCGAAAUUCCUUGUCGGGUAAGUUCCGACCUGCACGAAUGGUGUAACCAUGGCCAUGCUGUCUCCACCCGAGACUCAGUGAAAUCGAAUUCGCCGUGAAGAUGCGGUGUACCCGCGGCUAGACGGAAAGACCCCGUGAACCUUUACUACAGCUUGGCACUGAACAUUGAACCUACAUGUGUAGGAUAGGUGGGAGGCUUUGAAGGCGUGACGCCAGUUGCGCUGGAGCCGUCCUUGAAAUACCACCCUUGUAUGUUUGAUGUUCUAACGCAGGGCCCUGAAUCGGGCUCGCGGACAGUGCCUGGUGGGUAGUUUGACUGGGGCGGUCUCCUCCCAAAGAGUAACGGAGGAGCACGAAGGUUGGCUAAUCCUGGUCGGACAUCAGGAGGUUAGUGCAAUGGCAUAAGCCAGCUUAACUGCGAGACGGACAGGUCGAGCAGGUACGAAAGUAGGUCAUAGUGAUCCGGUGGUUCUGAAUGGAAGGGCCAUCGCUCAACGGAUAAAAGGUACUCCGGGGAUAACAGGCUGAUACCGCCCAAGAGUUCAUAUCGACGGCGGUGUUUGGCACCUCGAUGUCGGCUCAUCACAUCCUGGGGCUGAAGUCGGUCCCAAGGGUAUGGCUGUUCGCCAUUUAAAGUGGUACGCGAGCUGGGUUCAGAACGUCGUGAGACAGUUCGGUCCCUAUCUGCCGUGGGCGUUGGAUGAUUGAAGGGAGUUGCUCCUAGUACGAGAGGACCGGAGUGAACGAACCUCUGGUGUUCGGGUUGUCACGCCAGUGGCACUGCCCGGUAGCUAAGUUCGGAAUCGAUAACCGCUGAAAGCAUCUAAGCGGGAAGCGAGCCCUGAGAUGAGUCAUCCCUGACCCCUUGAGGGUCCUAAAGGGCCGUUGGAGACCACAACGUUGAUAGGUGGGGUGUGUAAGCGCGGCGACGUGUUGAGCUAACCCAUACUAAUUACCCGUGAGGCUUAACCAU
rnacentral:rRNA from 1 species